AGGGGCGUCGCCAAGCGGUAGGCAGCAGGUUUUGAUCCUGCCAUGCGUUGGUUCGAAUCCAGCCGCCCCUGCCA
rnacentral:tRNA from 1 species